rnacentral:rRNA from 1 species
CAAUAGCGUAUAUUAAAGUUGUUGCAGUUAAAAAGCUCGUAGUUGAAUUUUUGCUUGCCGCCGAUGUCGGAACUUCCGUACGUUCGGCGGCGUGCAUCCUUGGGUGGAACCUGUGUGGCAUUAGGUUGUCGUGCAGGGGAUGCUCAUCGUUUACUGUGAAAAAAUUAGAGUGUUCAAAGCAGGCUUACGCCGUUGAAUAUAUUAGCAUGGAAUAAUAAGAUAGGACCUUGGUACUAUUUUGUUGGUUUGCGCACCGAGGUAAUGAUUAACAGGGACAGUUGGGGGUAUUCGUAUUCCAUUGUCAGAGGUGAAAUUCUUGGAUUUCUGGAAGACGAACUACUGCGAAAGCAUUUACCAAGGAUGUUUNCAUUAG